UCUGGCGGACAGUGCUUCUAC
rnacentral:siRNA from 1 species